rnacentral:rRNA from 1 species
GACGAACCGUGCAAACGUUGUUCGGAAUCACUGGGCUUAAAGGGCGCGUAGGCGGGCCAGCCAGUCUGUGGUGAAAGCCUCCAGCUUAACUGGAGAAGUGCCGUGGAUACUGCUGGCCUCGAGGAGGGUAGGGGCAUCUGGAACGGUCGGUGGAGCGGUGAAAUGCGUUGAUAUCGACCGGAACUCCGGUGGCGAAGGCGAGGUGCUGGGCCCGUUCUGACGCUGAGUGCGCGAAAGCCAGGGGAGCAAACGGG